GAUGAUUCUAGUUUUAGAAGGGUUUUUAAAACUAUUUAAAUGCAAAGAGAAAAAAAUAUGACUGAAACUCUAAAGUUUGUGUGUGUUAUGUUUCUAUUUCUUUCCAUGUUUCUUGUCACCAAAGUAACUGAUUGUACCCCUCAAAAGAAAGUAACCGAUGUGUCUCAUCCUUGUACAACGGAUAAAGAUUGUCCAAAAGUGCAACAUGGAUAUAAACUUAGGUGUCGUAAAGGUCAAUGUGUACACAUCUAAAAAUGUCCAACUGAAAAUAAUGAGUUCUUGUGCUAUCACAAUAGUUGUACAAUAUAUCUUUUCUAGAAUAUUCCACAAGCUCUAAUAUACUGUUUGUGCAUGCACCCAAUAACUGGAUUUUUUAUCUGUAAUUUCAUGGACCUUGUAUUUAUUGUAUUGUACUCUAAGAUGCUAAGAUGACAAAAAUGAAAUGAAAUUAAGUAGAAA